GGGCCAUGGCUCAGUGGCAGAGCAUCUUCCUUGCCUGUAGAAGGUCCCAGGUUCAAUUCCUGGCAUCUCCA